AUUGAACGCUUGCGGCAGGCCUAACACAUGCAAGUCGAGCGAGCGGCGGACGGGUGAGUAAUGUAUGGGGACUGCCCGAUAGAGGGGGAUAACUACUGGAAACGGUGGCUAAUACCGCAUACUAUCGGAUAAACACUAUGGGAUUAGCUAGUAGGUGGGGGAAAGGCUCACCUAGUCGACGAUCUCUAGCUGGUCUGAGAGGAUGAUCAGACACACGGUGACGGAGACACUGCCCAUCAGCCUACGGAGGCAGCAGUGGGGAAUAUUGCACAAUGGGCGGAAGCCUGAUGCAGCCAUGCCGCGUGUAGGAAGAAGGCCUUAGGGUUGUAAAGUACUUUCAGCGGGGAGGCGUUACCCGCAGAAGAAGCACCGGCUAACUCCGUGCCAGCAGCCGCGGUAAUUC
rnacentral:rRNA from 1 species